CAUUCCUUCAAAAUUUUAGCCCCAAAUCCAACCAAAAAACACAUCCUCCAUGCUUGCCUUUGAUAAAGAAAACCAAAAAAAUAAAACUAUGUACUAUUCCUAUCAGCCAUAACAUUUACGCACCAUGAAAAUUGCGUAACAAACAACGAUAUGAUUCAUCUCCACGUGUACGUUCUAGAUCUUUCCUUGCAUACGUUAGCAAUCUGAAACUCAUCAAAUCAACCAAUCACAAAACACUCUCUAACAGAACAUUCCCUCGCUAUAAAUAAAGCAACUGGUCUUUCCUUUUCGAGUGGUUUUCCAUUAAGCAAUUCUGUGUGCUUUCAUUUUCUUCUUUUGUUCUGUCUCUGUGAGUUGAAAUGACUGCCGACAAAGAACCUGAGGUUGCGGCUGUCGUUGAGCAGCCGCCUUUGACGGAGGAGGAGGCCAAGCCGACGGAGAAGCCAGUGAAGGAGAAGAAGCCUAAACAGCCCAAAACUGCCUCUCAUCCUCCAUAUUUUCAGAUGAUCAAAGAGGCUCUGUUGGCCUUAAACGAGAAGAGUGGAUCGAGUCCGUACGCCAUAGGUAAGUACAUGGAAGAGAAGCACAAGGCAGUCCUUCCUGCAAAUUUCAAGAAAAUUCUAGCUUUACAAUUGAAGAACUCUGCUGCCAGAGGAAAUCUGAUCAAGAUCAAAGCCUCUUAUAAGCUAUCAGAGGCAGGCAAGAAAGAGAACAGCACAGCAAAGGUCCCAAAGGAAAAGGCUAACAGAGCAAAGAAACCUAAAGAAGCCAAAACAAUAGCUGGUCCCACCACUAGAAAGACAAGGUCUGCGAACAAAACUGAAGCUGCGAAGAAGCCAGCAGCGAAGAGAGUGGGAGCAAAGAAGGCAAAAAAAUCAACCACUGCAAAACCCAAACAGCCCAAGUCAAUCAAAUCCCCUGCUGCCAAGAGAAUCAAGAAAACUGCAAUAGCUGCUUCUGCUUCUUAGAUGUAAACAAAAUUAGGGAGUGACGAUGAUAAUAAUUAGUGUUAGGGUUGUGUCGUCUUCCGUAAAUAAGGGAUAUGUACGUGUGUGUUUAUAAUCUGUGCAAAAAAAUUAGGGUGCUUUGUGUGAAAGCUGAGUCUGUUGUGCCACGUGGAGCCUCCUCGUUGUGUUUGCGCACGCAGUUCGCAAUCUGUGAUUAUGAUCAUGAUAUCAGGAUUUUUGCAUCUAUGGCAAGAAUUUCUCCUGUUUUGCCUGUUAUCGUCAGGAAUUUUUUGCAUCUAUGGUUCUUAAAAUUUCUCUUGUUUGGUACCGACUUGGACAGGGCCGUUUCAGGCCUUUGAACUGGAUCGAGUCCAGUUUAUCAUCUUUCUAAACUCAAAAGCGACAGAUGAAAAUGUACUUCUUAGAAGUUUGCUAUGCGGAUGAUUAGGAGUCUGCUUUGGAUUUGGUUUAUAAUGAUUUAGAAUCUUUUAGUGGCCUUGACUCUUCAAUUGAUCUUACUUUUCCCAUUCUUGACCUGACAUCUAGAGAAAAAUGCCCGAUUACACUAUGCGUAUUUGUGUGUAUAUUUUUUCAUUUUAUAUAGGUGAAAUGUUUCGCACAGUUAUAAUAUUUUCAAAAGAAAGCUUGUGGAAUAAAUAAAAG
rnacentral:misc_RNA from 1 species